UAUGAAAGCAAGUGAAUAUUGCUUUAGAAUACAUGUGGUUUAACCAAGACCGUGUCAGCCGAUCAUAGAUGUCCCUGGUGGUCUCCUGCUAACACCUUUCCCACUACCAGCAGGUCUAUGGGGCAGCAGAUACCCUACAAUGCAUUACAAUGAUGAGACCAACUCAAAGCCUCAAAGCCUUGGGCCUGGACUGCUUCCUAGACAGCUCUCUGGCUUGCUCCCUCCUUCACACUUUGACCUCAUGGCACCAAUGGUUGUACCACCUGACACUCUACCCUACUGAGGCCAUUUGCCCAGAUUGGAUUUGCAAUACAUAGAUUUUUUCAGCAUUAAAAAACUUCAGCAUUAAAAAUGUAUUAAAAGAU